rnacentral:rRNA from 1 species
UACGUAGGGUGCGAGCGUUUGUCCGGAAUUUAUUGGGCGUAAAAGAGCUUGUAGGCGGUUCUGUCGCGUCUGCUCGUGAAAAUCCGGGGCGUCAACCCCGGACUUGCAGUGGGUACGGGCAGACUAGAGUGUGGUAGGGGGAGACGUGGAAUUCCUGGUGUAGCGGUGAAAAUGCGCAGAUAUCAGGAGGAACACCGAUGGCGAAGGCAGG